CCUCAUUUCAUCUCUCAACUUCUGAGAGUCCAAACCCUAGCCGCCCUCUCACACCUUCACCGGCUCCGUCCAUCGCCGUCGCCAAAAAUCGCUCUACGGCGGCGGCACCACUCCAAACCUCCCCAAAUUUUCACCAGUCAGUCCCCUUCCUCUUCCCUUUCCAAAUCCAUAAACCAAUUCCUUCAAAUCCCCACCAAUCUCCUCCGAUUUCAGAUCUAAAGCACCAACCUCAAAAACCCUAACUUACUCAAACCGCCUCAAACUCAUAUCCUAUAAUCACCAGGCCUCCCCAAACCCAAAACCCUUAACAAUUUUCCCAAACAAUCUUUAAAACUUGUCGAAUUCCGGAUUUAGGUUCAACCUAAUAUCUGAUUUUGGGAUUUCUUUGAAGCUUUGUUCGUCUUGGUUGGAAGCUUGCCCGAAUAGGUUAUUCUUGUCCAGAAUAAUCGUUUAGGUCAGUUUCAAGCCUCGUCGAAGUAUUCUGAGCCUGGCCAGCCUUCCGCUUUUGCUUUUGUUGAUCGUCUGGUUGAUUUAAAUCGGUACUCCCUGGCCUUUGUCAUUUAUUCACCUCUGUUCUUUUCUGUUUUGUUUCCUCUGAUCUCUUCCUCUCAAUUCUGUUUAGUUGCAUGGUAGCUUUUGUGUGUCCUCUGUUUUGUUUUCAUAUUAGGGCUUCAGAUUAGGAUUUCGUCACAGGUCUAAGGUCAAUUUAGUCGAUGUAUGAAAUAAGUCAAUUUUCAAUAAUAAUUUCUAAUUUUUAGUUUAUGAUAGAAGAAUUUAGGUGUAGUUUAAGGUUCAAAUUGCAUUGUUGUUGGUUAUUUGAGCACAUUUAGUUGUUAAUUCUGUUUUAGAAUGCAUCAAUUUAUCCAUUCUGGUUGCUAGAAACAUUCCAGUAUUUGUGCAAAAUCCAUUUGGGGUUCUUUGUCCAGCUUAGUUCAUUAUGAAUUGAUUUCGUGUUAGAAGUUUAGGUUCAUUCACUAGUUUCAGAUACUCUUUUCAACUUUGAACUUUGGUUUUCUUUCAAUCCGUUUGUAGAUAUUAGUUUGCUUGUUUUCUGUUUGUUUAGUUAGUAAUUGUUAGGAACUCUUAGGGCAUUAAUUGAACAAUUGAAAACUUGGAGGUUUAAUUUGAGAUUAGGAGACUAGAUUUUCUUUUAGUAAGCUUCUAGAAUCUGGGGCAGCUGGCCCAAUUCUGGCCAGCACAAGUGCUGGAGCCAAUUAAAGGCUACCAGUUGUCCCAAUUCUGUUAGAAAAGAUGCCUUGUGAGGGAAUAAUUCCCAUUCUGUUUUCAGCAGCACAUGGCACCCAAAAAGGGCUAUAUAUAUAGACCUUUCUGUCACUCUAAAGGCAGAUUUUCAGACCCUAAAAAACACUCAAAGUUUCUGCAUCAUUUUGGCUGAAAAAUUGGUUGGAAUUGCUCUUUGGUUUUCACAGUUAGAAGAACUUAAAAGUUUCAAAGGACCUCUGGUUUGCUGGGUAAAAAGAGGGUUUAAAAGGGGGCUGAAUCCUGCUAUUUAAUUUGUUGCUUGGCUCCUGUUUUGCUAUUGCUGAAUCCUCACUCUCCUUUGCCUUAUUUUGAAAUACAGGUAUCUCUUGGACUUUAAAUGACAUGUGAAUUGCAAGCUUGAAAUGUAUAAUCAAAUGUGGAGAUUGAAUGAUAUAUUGCAGCCGGAUGAAAGUUGUUCAGAUGUUUUCUGUUAAAUUCAUUUAGUUCUUGUAGUAGUGUUAGCCUUAUUUUAUCGUUUAUUUUCACUUCUUUUCUUUUCACUGUUUUCUUUAUCUAUAUUCUGUCCUUAGAUCUAUUUUAGGAUCUCAGAUCUAGUAUGAUGAUUUGUGAUGUGGCUAAGGAUCUUCAUGCUUGUGUAGUAGUUUAGUUUUUUUUUUUUUGUGAUGUUGAAAAGCCAUGGUGAUGAGUGUUAUUCCUUGUGUCCAGUUUUCAUCUUUUCAUUUAAAUGGUUUAAAAAUGCUAAGUCAAGGUCUGUUAUUAGCUUAGAAUCAUGUCUUUCAUGAAAAGGGUUGUAUGGCUAGUGUUAUGUGAUUAGUUAGGAAUUUCAGUUAAUGUUGUAUUGAUACUGCCUAUUAGUUAGUAUUUGUAAUAUGUAGUUGAGCAUCUUUGAUUCCCAGAAUUUGUGUAAAGGUUUUUUAGUUGUAGUCAUAAGGCCAACCAGUUCUAGAAAUGAAUUGGGUCAGGAGUAGGCCAAGAAGGAUGUCCUUGUCAGAAUCACCCUUGGUGUGGUUUUGGACCUUUUGUAUUGCACGCUAGGCUCAAUUUUAGGGCCCAAACCGUGCCAGUAUUUGUAUUUCUUUAAAUUUUACAAUGUUCAUGACCAAACAGCUCAUUGGGCCUGGCACUUAUCGGCCCACUUGGGGCCGAGCAACCUCCUGCCCUGAUUUCGUUCUUGGGCUCGGUCUGGAGCUUAGUUUUCGUAAAAUAGUUAUGGGCCUAAGGCCAGCAUUAAUUCCAACAUAGAUUAAAAUCUGAACUUUUUUAGGCUAUUUUAGUUAAAUAUAGUUCUUAAAAAGUGAGUUGAGGUGUGUCAUCCAUAAUUAGAUCACUCAUGGCCCUCACGAAUAUUAUAGCUUAGCUAUUUAAAAUGAAUAUUCGUAGAAAAGCCUUUAGGCGCGUUUAAAAUAUUAUUGUGAUUGUGAACACGUUCGCGUGACAUAAUUACGAUUCUAAAAACCAAUUCGGAGUAUGCGUUCGCGCAACUUCGAUCAAACUUUCUUAAUAAUAAAAUUAUUUUAAUAGGCCAUUAAAUUAAAUUUAGUUUAUAUAGUCCGAGGUGUGUCAUCCAUAAUUUAAUCAUUCAUGGGCCCCGUAUAAAUUCUAUGAUUUAGAUAUUAAAAAUGAUAUUCGUAGUCUGCUUUAGGCACGUUUAAUAUACCAUCGUGGUUGCGUACACGUCGCGUGACAUAAUUACGAUUCUAAAAACAAAACCGGGGUAUGCGUUCGCGCAACUUUGACCAAACCUUUUUUUAAUAAUAAUAAAGCGUUAUUAAUUGUGGACACGUUCGCGUGACAUGAUUUUUGACGCGCCAAACAAAUGGGUACACGUACGCGUGACCCGUUUCAAGAUAAUUUCUUAAUUAAAAGCGGUGAAUGCACAUAGGUUCUAAAAUCAGUAAUCAAACAAUUUGUUUAAGCCAAGUAUGAUCAAAGCGACCGUGCUAGAACCACGAAACUCGGGAGUACCUAACACCUUCUCUCGGGUUAACAGAAUUCCUUACCUGGAUUUCUGUGUUCGCAUACCGUAGAUAGAAUUAACUUUCCUCGACUCAGGAUUCUAAACCAGUGACUUGGGACACCAUAAAUUAUCCCAAGUGGCGACUAUGAAUUUAAAUAAAAUAAUCCUGUUUCGAUUGUCACUUAAAUUGGAAAAAACUUUCUUAAUACCUAUUCAAGUGUAGGUAAAAAGGAGGUGCGACAGACCCUGCGUACCUAGUCUCCUGGACACACGCUACAUUGACUUUCCUCUUCCGGAGGAUCUUUGCCAACUCUAUAAACUUACCCGUCAAUGUACCUACGUUCCAUGACCCAAUUCUCAACCUAUAGGCACCCUUGUUCCCCUUACCUCCAUUGCCUCCCUUCCCACCCUCUAGCCUCUGCCCCAUAUCCCGCCCCACCCCCCGCAUCUCCCGAGGACAUGACCUCACUCGACCAUCCCAGACCAUAGCCACUAUACCUACGACAGACCAAGGGAAAUCACUAACAUACACUAGGCAACAGACCAAAGUAGAGGGAAACAAGUUGCAACUACAUGCACGCUAAUAUGGUGAAUAAACGAAUACAAACUAAGAUGGCCUCAAUUUAACUAACACAAAGAAGUGAAACAGGAAAACGGGAGGUACCAACUCCCGCAAUUAGAACCUGGGAAUUGUCUUGGUAUACACGAUGGUGUUGUAGCCACCUUGCACGUUCACAUCCAACUCUCGUGCUGCCCCUUGCUGACAGUCGCCCGGGCUGUUCUUCACUGUUUGCACACGCUAUCCUGCUCGCCACCCAAAAGCCAAUGACCCUAACUUGCAAUACUCACAAAACAUCACGAAGCCAAACAAGAGGGGGAAGAGGUUGUCACCGCUACCACUGGUGAAGCCCCCGUCGUAGCAAAGGAGCACAAAGAAUGGAAGUAGACCAAAUAUGAGAAACUACUGCAAAUCUAAUAUAUGUGAUCUAACAGAAAAUAAAUGAACAUAAAACAUUAAAGCACUAUCGAUCUAACAAAAUAUCAUAUGCGGCAGAUUUUUACAAAGCGGAGAAGGAAAAUGAGAUAGAAAAUCAUUAAUUACAGUAAAACUUAUCAAAAAGUAUAAAUGCAAUUCAAAAAUCAGUGAUUAAACAUAGAUAGGAAAAUAAGAUAGAAAAUCAUUAAUUACGAUAAAACUUAUAAAGAAUUAUAAAUGCAAUUCAAAAAUCAGUGAUUAAACAUAGAAAGUUCACUCGAUCUAUAAAUUGAAGUACAUCAUACUGUCGAAGUAACUCAAAAUCGAUGAAAUGAACAAAAAAAAACAAUAAAACCCUAUCGAUCUAAAAAAAGUCAAAUGCGGAUGAUUUUUAAGAUGUAGACAAGCAAAAUGAGAUAAACAAUCAUUAAUCACAGUAGAAAACAUGAAAAUGACAAUAAAUGCACUUAAAAAAUCAAAGAUCUGCGAUAAACAGAAAGUUUACUUUUACAAUCGUAAAGACAAUUGAAGAAAUCUAAAAAUUGAUCGAGAGAAAAGUAGUCAUGUGGAACUACUCACUUGAUCGAGAGCGUAGUUAGAGGGAGAAGAGCGUUUGCUGCUGGUGGGGGUUGUCGCCGGCAUGGGGUGGUCGCCGUUGUCCAGUGGGGUGAGUGGUGGGUGGUGGGGUGGUCUUGUUUUGACAGUUGCCUAGAAUAUGUGAAAAAAUAAAAAAAGUUAUCCUACAGUCAAUAAAUUUUUUAAAAAAAUUAAAGAUAUUUGUGUUUAAUAUUAAGUUUUUCUAAGGCUUUAUUUGUUAAUAUUAUUUAUUUGAAAGUAAUAAUAUGAUGUGUUAUUUUGCUAAAUGUUAGUAUUUUAUUUAUGGCCAAAUACAUUACCAGUCCCCUAAAUUUGACGCCAAUUUCAUUUAGACACUUUAACAUAAUUUUGUUCCUAUUAAGCACUCCAACACUCACAAAAAUGUGUCUAUUGAACACCUCAUGCACAUGUGGCACAAAAGUGACUCUCACUUUGGAGUUGGGCGCGUGAAAAAUUUUGAAAGUUUUUUUUUUUUUCUUAUUCCUCUUUCUUCUCCACAGAACUCCCUCUAAGAUGGUAGAGCUUGUGUCCUCAUCCCCAUCCUCCAUUUUCAUUUUACUGAUUUACUGUAUUUUUCAGUGAUUUUUCACAAAUUUAUAUGCGUUUUUCGAUGAGUGUAUCUUAAAUCUCUUUUACCAAAAAACUGGAAAAUAUAGAUUGGUUCCUGCAAGUUAAGAAUAUUUGGAUAUGCAUUUGAAAUCGUAUACUCCAUCAGAGAACAUAUAACAGAAAUUGAAGAGUAAUAUAAUCUAUUUCUUUAUUUUUUAUAUUUUAUUACACCAAGAUGGGCUAGCUAGAUUCUUUCUUAUAGUCUUCCAAAUUCCCUUCCAAAAAAAAAAGAAGAUAAAAGCAAGAAGGAAAAAGUACGCAGAUACCCUUGGUUGCCGAAUACUUUCCGGCAAGUCGUGGCAGACCAAUUCUACCCUCUCUUGCCUGAACAUGAGGAAGACAACGAAAGGGGUAAGGGAAAGGGAUUAUUAAGAAUAUAAUCUAUUUUUUGUCUUGGAAGCUAUUUUAAUUUCUUUUAAUUUACACGCGUCGCCUAUUUAUUGGUCAUGUUGUUCAUGUCAGCGAGCUUGGUGGCUACGCGCUUAGUUUUGAAGACAAAUUGUGAUUAAGUGUUCAAUAGACACACUUUUUUUGAGUGUUUGGAGUAUCUAAUAGGAAUAAGAGUAUGUUAAAGUGUCUAAAUGAAAUUUGGCGUCAAGUUUAGGGGUUGUUUAUGUAUUUGACCUUUAUUUAUUAAAUUAAUGAGUAUGGCUUGGUCUAUAAAUCAAUGAGCUUUGAUUUU
rnacentral:lncRNA from 1 species